UGCAAAACACUCGCCACCUAAACCAGGAAGCAAAACACACGUAAACACGGACUAAGGAACCAACAAAUAUAAGGCAGAAAGAGGAGUUGUUUUCAUCGUCUUGCUGUCCAGAAGCGAAUAGAAACCCGCUGUGGAUGAGUUUAUUCCGCUAAACGCGCGCGGUUGCUGUGGGCAGUAUGGGACAGCACAUGGGAAAACGUGAGCCAUCUCCUGAGUCCAAGACUUUGUCAGACCCAGCAUCCAGAACCACAGCGGACUCCGACUCUCAGGACGAGGUCUUUGGCAUGAACGACUCGGACGUCAACCAGAACAAAAACCGUUCAAACAAAAGCCAGACGACGUCAGGCACCGCCCCUCCCAGCACUGGACAGACCAACCAGGGAGGCGGAUUUUGGCCACGCCCACACUUGGUCCGCCUUUUUUCCCGUGAUGCCCCGGGCCGAGAGGACAACACCUUCAAAGAGCGGCCGUCGGAGUCGGACGAACUUCACACCAUCGAGGAGGCCGGAGGAGCGACGUCCGAAAACGCAGAGUGAAAGCAUAUAAACCCAACUCGUUCACUUGCUUCUUUCGCUCUUCGACACCCAACAUGGCGUCUUCAGGCUCAGCAGGACAGUCCGGCUUCAGACUCGGGCGCGCAAAGAAAAACCCUGGAGUGAUGGAUCAGAUCGGAAAAAUCUUUGGAGGUGAUAAGAAGCGGAAGAGCAAGGGGGAUCAGAAGGGAGGCUCAGUGAAGGCGCAAAAAGGGCGUGCCGGAGCAGGACAGGGCACGCUGACCCGCAUCUUCAAAAUGGGAGGAACCAGAGCAGCAUCACCGGCCAAGCGCUGAGCUCCAGCUCUUUUAUUGUUCUCCAUUAAACAUGAUGACCCUGAACGGAGAGAAAGGAAAGAAGAAGGACGCUUUUAUUUCCUCCUUCACUUACACAUUUUUUUUCCUGCUAGUGUCUCCCGCACUAACCUGAACCUGAAGAUCGUGCUCAUCCUUCUCUGUCUCUUUCAUCUAUUCGUUUACGUCGAUUUCUCCAUCCGUUGAGUUCAGCGUGGUCAGAUCCUCGGCUACUCCCUCCUACCGUCUCUUCCCUGUCCUUUGAGAUCAUGAGGCACUGAGAACCUUUUGAGGAACGCUUUCUGAUUAUGAUAGAGAACUAACCGUUAUCACAUACCGUUAUAUUACACCGUGUAGUUAUAAGCUAAUUUCGACGGUUUCAGAAAGGUUCAAGGAGCUAGUUCAGCUUCAGUCACAGUAGCUAGGACUUUCCAUAUGUAGAUUAGCGAACAUCACAAAAUUUUCACAUGAACGACAAAAUUGCCUCAAAAGGUUGUAGUGUGUCAUUUAUAUUACUGAAUAUUAGUCUUGUGGUGCUGUCUUAGUCUCAAGAGUCAGUGUGACUAGCAUUUAGCGUCUAACCGCUGUGCACAGGAUAUACUCACGCGUGGCUUUAUGUGGUCUCGUCUUCAACUCACUCUUCCUCAACGUCUCAGUGGAUCUGACUGCCAACUGUUCAGCUAAAAAAAAAAAAAGAAACUAAAAUGUCGUCUCUUGUUGAUUUUCAGUCACUUAUCUUGACUUCUGUCUUUUUCUCUCUCUCAUUCACUAUCAGUCUUUGGCCUUUGACUACUUCUUUAAGCUUUUUGAAUAAAAUCAUGCCGAUACAUGAUAUGGACACAGCUAGCAUAAAAAAGCAGUAGAAAUUGCGCAUGUGUUUGUCAGUUAGACUGCUAAUGGAGUGACGGGAGUCAUUAAAAAUGCAAAUAAAGGAGACAAAUAUGUGUCA